rnacentral:tRNA from 1 species
GGUAGGAUAUCCAAGUGGCUAAAGGGUGCAGACUGUAAAUCUGUCGUCUCACGACUUCGCCGGUUCGAAUCCGGCUCCUACCACCA